rnacentral:rRNA from 1 species
GAUGAACGCUGGCGGCGUGCCUAAUACAUGCAAGUCGAGCGAACGGACGAGAAGCUUGCUUCUCUGAUGUUAGCGGCGGACGGGUGAGUAACACGUGGAUAACCUACCUAUAAGACUGGGAUAACUUCGGGAAACCGGAGCUAAUACCGGAUAAUAUUUUGAACCGCAUGGUUCAAAAGUGAAAGACGGUCCUGCUGUCACUUAUAGAUGGAUCCGCGCUGCAUUAGCUAGUUGGUAAGGUAACGGCUUACCAAGGCAACGAUGCAUAGACGACCUGAGAGGGGGAUCGGCCACACUGGAACUGAGACACGGACCAGACUCCUACGGGAGGCAGCAGUAGGGAAUCUUCCGCAAUGGGCGAAAGCAUGACGGAGCAACGCCGCGUGAGUGAUGAAGGUCUUCGGAUCGUAAAACUCUGUUAUUAGGGAAGAACAGAUGUGUAAGUAACUGUGCACAUCUUGACGGUACCUAAUCAGAAAGCCACGGCUAACUACGUG